rnacentral:rRNA from 1 species
AGUGAACGCUGGCGGCGUGCCUAAUACAUGCAAGUCGAACGGAGUGGCGCACGGGUGCGUAAUAUAUAGCUACUCUGCCCCUUCCUGCAGGACAACAGUUAGAAAUGACUGCUAAUACUCCAUAGAAAGGGAUGAGACUAUAUCGUAUCAGAUAGUCGGUGGGGUAACGGCCUACCGAGGGUAUGACGCGUAACUGGUCUGAGAGGAUGAUCAGUCACAUUGGAACUGAGACACCGUCCAAACUCCUUCGGCAGGCAGCAGUAGGGAAGAUUGCGCAAUGGGGGAAACCCUGACGCAGCAUCGGCGCGUGGAGGAUGACACUUUUCGGAGCGUAAACUCCUUUGGUUAGGGAAGCGGUACCUAACGAAUAAGCACCGGCUAACUACGUGCCAGCCGCCGCGGUAAUAC